AGGUGUUGGUAGAUGUUGUAGGGUCAUGUGAAGGUAGAUGCUGUAGGGUCAGGUGUUGGUAGAUGAUGUAGGGUCAGCUGAUGGUAGAUGUUGUAGGGUCAGGUGUUGGUAGAUGUUGUAG